UGAGGAAUAUUGGGCAAUGCCCGCAAGGGUGACCCAGCAACGCCGCGUGGAGGAUGAAUGUCGUAAGAUUGUAAACUCCUGUUAGAGGGGAAGAAUAGUACCGGUUGGACCGGUAUAUGACUGUACCCUCAGAGAAAGCCCCGGCUAACUACGUGCCAGCAGCCGCGGUAAUACGUAGGGGGCAAGCGUUGUCCGGAUUUACUGGGUGUAAAGGGCGCGCAGGCGGGAUAAAAAGUCAGUGGUGAAAUCCUACAGCUUAACUGUAGAACUGCCUUUGAUACUUUUAUGCUUGAGUUCGGGAGAGAGAGACGGAAUUCCAGGUGUAGUGGUGAAAUACGUAGAUAUCUGGAAGCACACUAGUUGCGAAGGCGGUCUCUUGGUCCGACACUGACGCUGAGGCGCGAAAGCGUGGGGAGCAAACA
rnacentral:rRNA from 1 species